rnacentral:rRNA from 1 species
CCAGAGAACUUAGCAGAGAUGCUUUGGUGCCUUCGGGAACUCUGAGACAGGUGCUGCAUGGCUGUCGUCAGCUCGUGUUGUGAAAUGUUGGGUUAAGUCCCGCAACGAGCGCAACCCCCUAUCCUUUGUUGCCAGCGAUUCGGUCGGGAACUCAAAGGAGACUGCCGGUGAUAAACCGGAGGAAGGUGGGGAUGACGUCAAGUCAUCAUGGCCCUUACGAGUAGGGCUACACACGUGCUACAAUGGCGCAUACAAAGAGAAGCGACCUCGCGAGAGCAAGCGGACCUCAUAAAGUGCGUCGUAGUCCGGAUUGGAGUCUGCAACUCGACUCCAUGAAGUCGGAAUCGCUAGUAAUCGUAGAUCAGAAUGCUACGGUGAAUACGUUCCCGGGCCUUGUACACACCGCCCGUCACACCAUGGGAGUGGGUUGCAAAAGAAGUAGAUAGCUUAACCUUCGGGAGGGCGUUUACCACUUUGUGAUUCAUGACUGGGGUGAAGUCGUAACAAGGUAGGCGUAGCGAG